UCUCAAUCUGUCUGUCAAUUUUUGAGAAAUUAACAUCUAAACAGUGUAAAUUGUGAAAAAUAAAGUUUUAAAAUGUCAACGAAAUAUUCAGUUCACGACAAAGAUCUGUUUCUCCAAAUUUUGGCGAGUCAUCCCAUUAUUGAGGAUAAAGAAACCGAUCAAUUUAAUAUUGAAAGAAAAAAAAAGGCAUGGGCAAAAAUUGAACAAGAUUUAAUGCGGCGGCUGAUGAAAAGAGAACAAUCAUUGAAUUGAAGAGAUUGUGGGAUAAAGUUAAGAGGAAAAGAAAGAGUGAAUUGGCGGAGGAAAGGAGGGAAUUAAUGGCUACAGGCGGUGGAGGGCAUCAUUGGCUCCAAAACCUCAGCCAGAAAUUGACAAUCCUCUCUCUCAUACGGAUUUCGAAAUUUUAAAUCCAUUUGAUUCCGAUGGCUUAGUUUUAAGUCAAAUUUCGAAUGAUGGUGCAACUUGUAGUACGAGCAGAGAAGUUUCCAAAGAUUGAAACAUCAACAGGAAGUGGUGUUGGAUCAUCCAGUAGGAAACCUACUGUUCCUGAAACGCGGAGAACCAAAAAUGUUGUAAACUUUUAACAAAUGAACGAAUGAAGUUUAUUGAACUGGUGAAUGAAGAACUUCAAGAACUAAAUAAAGUACGGUUGAGCAAGGCCAAGUACAGGUUGGAGGAGGCAAAGACAAAAGCAGAGGAGGCCUCAUACAGUUUUCAGGAA